CCUUGUCAUUAGUUGCUACGAAAGGGCACUCUAAUGAAACUGCCGGUGACAAACCGGAGGAAGGUGGGGAUGACGUCAAUUCCUCAUAGCACCUUAUGGGUACGGCUUCACACUUCAUACAAUGGUACAUACAGAGGGCCGCCAACCCGCGAGGGGGAGCUAAUCCCAAGAAAGUGUAUCGUACUCCGGAUUGUACUCUGCAACUCUACUAGUUGAAAUUGGAAUCCCUAGUAAUCGCAGAUCAGCAUGUCCCGGUAAAUACUUUCCCGGGUCUNGUACAUACCNCCCGUCACACCAUGGGAGCGGGUUUUACCAGAAAUAGGUAACCUAACCGUAACGAUGGCGCUUACCACGGUAGGAUACCUGACUGGGGUGAAAUCGUAACAAGGUAACCGUUUCUGAAGGUGCGGCUGGAUCACC
rnacentral:rRNA from 1 species